rnacentral:lncRNA from 1 species
GUUUGUCAGCCUUUGGAGAAACCGGAGGGCCCAAGAUGGGGCGUUUUUUUGUCCAGAAUCCAAUCAUAACGGUGAUUUAACGGAUCUCCUCAUAGGUAAUUGCUCCAUUAAUUUUAUUAUUUGCUUCUUAUUUUCAAUUAGCACAACAUCACCCAUCCAGAUCAUAUGUCAAAUACCAGUAUCAUCUAAACAUUAUGUUUUCUUCUACCCUGGCCUAACUAGCACCAGGAAAAUUGGAGCAAAUACAUGAUUAUUAUUAUCUCACGUGACCUUGGCGUUACCUGUUCUGCCUUGGUGUUGCCGGGGGCUCCAAGUUCCCAAACGUCAAAAUAUUCUAACAUUGAAAUGGGAAAUAGGAUCAAGAUUGGACCUGCGCAGAGAUCCCCCUUCUCCAAUUUCCAAUAACCUCAUGAAUGGGGUGAUGCAAAUUUUUGUCCCCAAUUCCUUCACCCCCUGCUGUUGCGUGUACAACUCCUGGUCCUCGUAGUCACUACUAAUCCCUAGAAGUUUUCUGCUAUUGUUUUCUCUGUGCAUGCAUGCACAUUGAGGGGGUGUGUAGAUCCAAGGUGUAAAGUUUUGGUGUGUCAGAUCGAGUAUUAUAAAGGGUGUCGUAUGGGAUAUUCGGACACUAAUAGAAAAAACUAAUUAUAGAAUCCGGCAGUAAAUAGCGAGGCGAAUUUAUUAAGCCUAAUUAAUCUGUCAUUAGCAAAUGUUUACUGUAGCACCACAUUAUCAAAUCAUGGAGCAAUUAGGCUUAAAAGAUUCAUCUCGCAAAUUAGUCGCAAUCUGUGCAAUUAGUUAUUUUUUGUCUAUAUUUAACACUUCAUGCAGGUAUUCAAACGUUCGAUGUGAUAGGGUGUAAAAUUUUCGUGUGGAAACUAAACAGGGCCUGAGAUAGUACUAUCAGAUAUGCAAUAAAGAUCACCACCUACAUGGCUUCAUCUGCUGCAUAUGUAAUACUCCAGUAGUAUUAGUUAACCGCAUGCAUGAUAUAUAAUACUCCACUUUUAUUAAACUACUAUAGUAAAUCUCUCUGUCAGCAUGAUGAGUCUAUGCUUAGCAUCUCUUGGGCUGUGAAAACAUGCAUGAUUAAAUUCAAGUUGCAUGUUUUCUUAUGGAAUCUUGUCAAGAAAAGUCAUGGAGGUUACUCGAUUGCAGUCUCAUGCAAAUGAUGGAGCCUAAUUUACAUAAAGACGGUUUUUUUUAACUUUAAACUAGAUUUUUAGCCUUAGAAUGCUAAGAGGCCAGAUUUUCUAUUUUUAUUUUUAUUUAAAAAGAAGUUAGUUAAUUCAUUAAGGUUAUGCUUAUAUCAUGUAGAAGGUUAUGCUUAUUAUUUAUUUCAAGAUAUUUCGACUCUUUCUUAAUCUUCGAAAAGAGAAAUUUCGUAGUUCAUGUUUCAUAGGUUGUCUGUACCUUGUACUACUAUGUUCUGAACUUCAGCUGAUGUAUGCAUGUCUCUACUCUUGUGAAAUACUAGACUCUUGAAAAUAAAGAAAGGGCAUGCAUUAAUCUCGUUGCAUCUUAUAAAACUCAGUGGAAGGAUUUGCCUGAAAAUUAUGAAACAGGGCCUCUGAUUCUGAUGGUAGUUAAACAUAUACUACAUAAUAUAGUCAUUGACAAUUGCAUCAUUGUCAAAACAUUGACCAAGAAGAAAUGAUGCAGUGUACUGUACUUUCAGUUGUAUAGCUGUGUACGUAUCUGUUGAAGAGUGGAGGAACACACCAGAUCAGAACUACUAAACUGGUACCCAUCUGCAGGCAAGGCAUAGCAUCUGGACAGUGCAUAUGCAUGCACUGGCUGUGAAUUGUUGCCCCAAGUGCAUCAUAUUUAAAGGUGGCAAUGAGGAUCGGAGCUAGGGAGCCACGCAGCAGGUUCUUCAUCCUACAAGCUUCAAUCAUGC